rnacentral:rRNA from 1 species
AUACGUAGGGUGCGAGCGUUGUCCAGAAUUACUGGGCGUAAAGAGCUCGUAGGUGGUUUGUCGCGUCGUCUGUGAAAUUCCGGGGCUUAACUCCGGGCGUGCAGGCGAUACGGGCAUAACUUGAGUACUGUAGGGGAGACUGGAAUUCCUGGUGUAGCGGUGAAAUGCGCAGAUAUCAGGAGGAACACCGGUGGCGAAGGCGGGUCUCUGGGCAGUAACUGACGCUGAGGAGCGAAAGCAUGGGUAGCGAACAGGAUUAGAUACCCUGGUAGUCCAUGCCGUAAACGGUGGGCGCUAGGUGUAGGGGUCUUCCACGACUUCUGUGCCGUAGCUAACGCAUUAAGCGCCCCGCCUGGGGAGUACGGCCGCAAGGCUAAAACUCAAAUGAAUUGACGGGG